CGAAGGGUGCAAGCGUUACUCGGAAUUACUGGGCGUAAAGCGUGCGUAGGCGGUUUGUUAAGUCCGCUGUGAAAGCCCUGGGCUCAACCUGGGAAUUGCAGUGGAUACUGGCAAGCUAGAGUGCGGUAGAGGAUGGUGGAAUUCCCGGUGUAGCGGUGAAAUGCGUAGAGAUCGGGAGGAACACCCGUGGCGAAGGCGGCCAUCUGGACCAGCACUGACGCUGAGGCACGAAAGCGUGGGGAGCAAACAGGAUUAGAUACCCUGGUAGUCCACGCCCUAAACGAUGCGAACUGGACGUUGGGUGGACUUAGCCACUCAGUGUCGAAGCUAACGCGUUAAGUUCGCCGCCUGGGGAGUACGGUCGCAAGACUG
rnacentral:rRNA from 1 species